rnacentral:rRNA from 1 species
CCUACGGGAGGCAGCAGUGAGGAAUAUUGGUCAAUGGGCGCAAGCCUGAACCAGCCAUGCCGCGUGCAGGAUGACGGUCCUAUGGAUUGUAAACUGCUUUUGUACAGGAAGAAACACUCCCUCGUGAGGGAGCUUGACGGUACUGUAAGAAUAAGGAUCGGCUAACUCCGUGCCAGCAGCCGCGGUAAUACGGAGGAUCCAAGCGUUAUCCGGAAUCAUUGGGUUUAAAGGGUCCGUAGGCGGGUUUAUAAGUCAGUGGUGAAAGCCCAUCGCUCAACGAUGGAACGC